UACAGAGGUCUCAAGCGUUAUUCGGAUUCACUGGGCGUAAAGGGUGCGCAGGCGGCCAAGUGUGUUAGGCGUGAAAGCCCGGGGCUUAACCCCGGAAUUGCACCUAAAACUACAUGGCUAGAGCAUUGGAGAGGGUAGCGGAAUUCACGGUGUAGCAGUGAAAUGCGUAGAUAUCGUGAGGAACACCAGAGGCGAAGGCGGCUACCUGGACAAUUGCUGACGCUCAGGCACGAAAGCGUGGGGAGCAAAAGGG
rnacentral:rRNA from 1 species